rnacentral:rRNA from 1 species
UACGUAGGAUGCGAGCGUUGUCCGGAAUUACUGGGCGUAAAGAGCUCGUAGGCGGCUUGUCGCGUUGUUCGUGAAAAUUUACCGCUCAACGGUGAACUUGCGGGCGAUACGGGCAGGCUAGAGUGUGGUAGGGGAGAUCGGAAUUCCUGGUGUAGCGGUGAAAUGCGCAGAUAUCAGGAGGAACACCGGUGGCGAAGGCGGAUCUCUGGGCCAUUACUGACGCUGAGGAGCGAAAGCGUGGGGAGCGAACAGG